CGCACGCUGCCCGGCACGUGCUGCGCCGCCGCAGGGAGGUGGGGGGAGGUGCGCCGAGGGGGCGGGGCCGCGAGGUGCCAUGGCAACGGGCGGCGCGUUCCCUCAGGAGGCGGUGUUCACGGGACGCGUUAGCGCAGACGCUGAGGGGAAAGAGCACAUGUAUGCUUUCUCAACAGCCGAAAUAGUACGACAGCAUCUUACAGGUGCUCUGGUUUUGAUGCGCACUCAGCUUGCUGGGUCUGACAGCUCAAUGUACUGUGCUCAGGAAUUCAGUUUCCAGAGUGAAGUCCAUGACUGAGGCAUCCGUAGGGGUUACGUGCCAACAGGAUGAGCAGGAAAAGCCCUGUUACUAUGAGGCUAUUAAAAAGGUAGAAAAAUACAUGUAGAAUAGGCAAGAACUGCUCCUUAGAAGUGCCACCAAGGUAAAUGAAGAGUGUGGGAAUCUGUGUGUGCAGGAGCCAGAGUUAAAGCAGCCUUCAGAAUCUCCUUGCACCGGAGAGAGAAGGAGUUACCGAGGUUUAAAAGGAUGCUGUCAUGAGGCAGUGUUGGUGGGGGCCACUCUUAGUCCAUCCAUAAAGAGGAACACCUGUGUAAACCUGGGACUGCAGCUUGUUCUAUAGAACAGAGAAGUGAGUAAGUGAAGAUCUAUCCAUCUGCCUGCAAAACAUGAAGCAGCUAUACAAAAUGCCUAACAGCUGGUCACGGGGGCAAGUUCCUGUGCUGUAAAUUACAGGAUGUUGCCUGUGAGUCCACACAACAUGACAGUGCCAUCGAGAGAAUGUUUUCUUGAAGGCACUUCUGCACUGUGAGAUGAGCUUCUGGCUGAGCUAGACGGAG